rnacentral:rRNA from 1 species
AGUGAACGCUGGCGGUAGGCCUAACACAUGCAAGUCGAACGGCAGCACAGUAAGAGCUUGCUCUUACGGGUGGCGAGUGGCGGACGGGUGAGGAAUACAUCGUAAUCUACUUUUUCGUGGGGGAUAACGUAGGGAAACUUACGCUAGUACAGCAUACGACCUACGGGUGAGAGCAUUGGAUCUUCGGACCUUGCGCGAUUGAAUGAGCCGAUGUCGUGCUAGUUAGUUGGCGGGGUAAAGACCAACCAAGGGGACGAUCCGUAGCUGGACUGGGAGGCUGAUCAGCCACACGGGAAGUGGGACACGCUCCAGACUCCUGCGGGACGCAGCAGUGUGGAAUAUUGGACAAUAGGCGCAAACCUGAUACAGCCAUCCCGAGUGGGUGAAGAAGGCCUUGGGUUUGUAAAGCCCUUCUGUUGGGAAAGAAACGCAGCAGGUUAAUACCCCGCUGUUCUGACGGUACCCAAAGAAUAAGCACCGGCUAACUUCGUG